GAUGAACGCUGGCGGCGUGCCUAAUACAUGCAAGUCGAGCGAACAGGUGAGGAGCUUGCUCCUCUGACGUUAGCGGCGGACGGGUGAGUAACACGUGGAUAACCUACCUAUAAGACUGGGAUAACUACGGGAAACCGGAGCUAAUACCGGAUAAUAUAUUGAACCGCAUGGUUCAAUAGUGAAAGACGGUUUUGCUGUCACUUAUAGAUGGAUCCGCGCCGCAUUAGCUAGUUGGUAAGGUAACGGCUUACCAAGGCAACGAUGCGUAGCCGACCUGAGAGGGUGAUCGGCCACACUGGAACUGAGACACGGUCCAGACUCCUACGGGAGGCAGCAGUAGGGAAUCUUCCGCAAUGGGCGAAAGCCUGACGGAGCAACGCCGCGUGAGUGAUGAAGGUCUUCGGAUCGUAAAACUCUGUUAUUAGGGAAGAACAAAUGUGUAAGUAACUAUGCACGUCUUGACGGUACCUAAUCAGAAAGCCACGGCUAACUACGUG
rnacentral:rRNA from 1 species